rnacentral:rRNA from 1 species
UACGGAGGAUGCAAGCGUUAUCCGGAAUGAUUGGGCGUAAAGCGUCCGCAGGUGGCUGUGUAAGUCUGCUGUUAAAGAGUGAGGCUCAACCUCAUAAAAGCAGUGGAAACUACACAGCUAGAGUGCGUUCGGGGCAGAGGGAAUUCCUGGUGUAGCGGUGAAAUGCGUAGAGAUCAGGAAGAACACCGGUGGCGAAGGCGGCUCUCUGGGACGGUACUGACGCUGAGACGCGAAAGCGUGGGGAGCGAACAGG